GACCUGGUGGUGGAGUGGUUACCACACUUGCUUUAGGUAGCCAGGUGUUUCCGCAAUUCUGCAGGAGGCCCCCGUUCGAUUCGGGGUCGGGUCA